rnacentral:tRNA from 1 species
UGAGGUAUAGCUUAGUGGCAGAGCACUUGUCUGAUAUAUGUGAGGCUCUGGGUUCAAUCCCCAGCAUCACAU